rnacentral:rRNA from 1 species
CAGCCGCCACGGGAAUACGUAGGUGGCAAGCGUUAUCCGGAAUUAUUGGGCGUAAAGCGCGCGUAGGUGGUUUUUUAAGUCUGAUGUGAAAGCCCACGGCUCAACCGUGGAGGGUCAUUGGAAACUGGAAAACUUGAGUGCAGAAGAGGAAAGUGGAAUUCCAUGUGUAGCGGUGAAAUGCGCAGAGAUAUGGAGGAACACCAGUGGCGAAGGCGACUUUCUGGUCUGUAACUGACGCUGAUGUGCGAAAGCGUGGGGAUCAAACAGGAUUAGAUACCCCGGUAGUCCCUGUCUCUUAUAC